CCUACGGGAGGCAGCAGUGAGGAAUAUUGGUCAAUGGGCGUAAGCCUGAACCAGCCAAGUCGCGUGAGGGAUGAAGGUUCUAUGGAUCGUAAACCUCUUUUAUAAGGGAAUAAAGUGUGGGACGUGUCCUAUUUUGUAUGUACCUUAUGAAUAAGGAUCGGCUAACUCCGUGCCAGCAGCCGCGGUAAUACGGAGGAUCCGAGCGUUAUCCGGAUUUAUUGGGUUUAAAGGGUGCGUAGGCGGCAUUUUAAGUCAGCGGUGAAAGUCUGUGGCUCAACCAUAGAAUUGCCGUUGAAACUGGGGGGCUUGAGUGUGUGAGAGGCAGGCGGAAUGCGUGGUGUAGCGGUGAAAUGCUUAGAUAUAACGCAGAACCCCAAUUGCGAAGGCAGCCUGCCAAGCCAUGACUGACGCUGAUGCACGAAAGCGUGGGGAUCAAACAGGAUUAGAUACCCCUGUAGUC
rnacentral:rRNA from 1 species